rfam:Monodelphis domestica chromosome 5, whole genome shotgun sequence.
GUAGGCAAUUAGCAGCCUUGUGACAUCAGACAAAGAAGUCACAGGGCAGUAUCUGAGGGUCUAU